UACAGAGGUCUCAAGCGUUGUUCGGAUUCAUUGGGCGUAAAGGGUGUGUAGGUGGCGCGCUAAGUCGGGUGUGAAAUUUCGGAGCUUAACUCCGAAACUGCAUUCGAUACUGGCGUGCUUGAGGAACUGGAGAGGAGACGUGGAAUUCAUGGUGUAGCAGUGAAAUGCGUAGAGAUCAUGAGGAAGACCAGUGGCGAAGGCGGGUCUCUGGACAGUUCCUGACACUGAGCACGAAGGCCAGGGGAGCAAACGGG
rnacentral:rRNA from 1 species